rnacentral:rRNA from 1 species
GAUGAACGCUGGCGGCGUGCCUAAUACAUGCAAGUCGAGCGAACGGACGAGAAGCUUGCUUCUCUGAUGUUAGCGGCGGACGGGUGAGUAACACGUGGAUAACCUACCUAUAAGACUGGGAUAACUUCGGGAAACCGGAGCUAAUACCGGAUAAUAUUUUGAACCCCAUGGUUCAAAAGUGAAAGACGGUCUUGCUGUCACUUAUAGAUGGAUCCGCGCUGCAUUAGCUAGUUGGUAAGGUAACGGCUUACCAAGGCAACGAUGCAUAGCCGACCUGAGAGGGUGAUCGGCCACACUGGAACUGAGACACGGUCCAGACUCCUACGGGAGGCAGCAGUAGGGAAUCUUCCGCAAUGGGCGAAAGCCUGACGGAGCAACGCCGCGUGAGUGAUGAAGGUCUUCGGAUCGUAAAACUCUGUUAUUAGGGAAGAACAUAUGUGUAAGUAACUGUGCACAUCUUGACGGUACCUAAUCAGAAAGCCACGGCUAACUACGUGCCAGCAGCCGCGGUAAUACGUAGGUGGCAAGCGUUAUCCGGAAUUAUUGGGCGUAAAGCGCGCGUAGGCGGUUUUUUAAGUCUGAUGUGAAAGCCCACGGCUCAACCGUGGAGGGUCAUUGGAAACUGGAAAACUUGAGUGCAGAAGAGGAAAGUGGAAUUCCAUGUGUAGCGGUGAAAUGCGCAGAGAUAUGGAGGAACACCAGUGGCGAAGGCGACUUUCUGGUCUGUAACUGACGCUGAUGUGCGAAAGCGUGGGGAUCAAACAGGAUUAGAUACCCUGGUAGUCCACGCCGUAAACGAUGAGUGCUAAGUGUUAGGGGGUUUCCGCCCCUUAGUGCUGCAGCUAACGCAUUAAGCACUCCGCCUGGGGAGUACGACCGCAAGGUUGAAACUCAAAGGAAUUGACGGGGACCCGCACAAGCGGUGGAGCAUGUGGUUUAAUUCGAAGCAACGCGAAGAACCUUACCAAAUCUUGACAUCCUUUGACAACUCUAGAGAUAGAGCUUUCCCCUUCGGGGGACAAAGUGACAGGUGGUGCAUGGUUGUCGUCAGCUCGUGUCGUGAGAUGUUGGGUUAAGUCCCGCAACGAGCGCAACCCUUAAGCUUAGUUGCCAUCAUUAAGUUGGGCACUCUAAGUUGACUGCCGGUGACAAACCGGAGGAAGGUGGGGAUGACGUCAAAUCAUCAUGCCCCUUAUGAUUUGGGCUACACACGUGCUACAAUGGACAAUACAAAGGGCAGCGAAACCGUGAGGUCAAGCAAAUCCCAUAAAGUUGUUCUCAGUUCGGAUUGUAGUCUGCAACUCGACUACAUGAAGCUGGAAUCGCUAGUAAUCGUAGAUCAGCAUGCUACGGUGAAUACGUUCCCGGGUCU